AACGAACGCUGGCGGCAUGCCUAACACAUGCAAGUCGAACGAAGCCUUCGGGCUUAGUGGCGCACGGGUGCGUAACACGUGGGAAUCUGCCCUUUGGUUCGGAAUAACAGUUAGAAAUGACUGCUAAUACCGGAUAAUGACGUAAGUCCAAAGAUUUAUCGCCGAAGGAUGAGCCCGCGUAGGAUUAGGUAGUUGGUGGGGUAAUGGCCCACCAAGCCGACGAUCCUUAGCUGGUCUGAGAGGAUGAUCAGCCACACUGGGACUGAGACACGGCCCAGACUCCUACGGGAGGCAGCAGUGGGGAAUAUUGGACAAUGGGCGAAAGCCUGAUCCAGCAAUGCCGCGUGAGUGAUGAAGGCCUUAGGGUUGUAAAGCUCUUUUACCAGGGAUGAUAAUGACAGUACCUGGAGAAUAAGCUCCGGCUAACUCCGUGCCAGCAGCCGCGGU
rnacentral:rRNA from 1 species